UGCUCCAUCACAAGAUCUGUAAAUUGUCCAAAACGCAGCGUUUUGAGCACCAGUCCGAAACCCUAGGUUUGAAGAAGGGAAGCAAGUGCUAUUGAAGCUCUAAUGGCUUCGCAACCCAUGUUAGGCCCUAGAACGCAGAGUUUGAAGCAGAAAAAUCGGCGGCGACGCUUUUGAUUCGGCAUCUCCCCGAAGCCAUUCCUCAGGACACCCUGUCUCGCCUCUUCUCCAGCUAUGGCGCUUCUUCUGUCCGUCCUUGCACUUCUGGAAGAUUGAGGAACUGUGCAUUUGUGGAUUUCAAGAGUGAAAUGUUGGCUUCUCAAGCACUACGCCAAUUAAAUGGGCUGAGGUUUCUUGGUAAAGUUUUGUUAGUGGAGAGAGCAAAUAAGCCAACUGAGGAUGAUAAACAAAAAAGUGAAGCUCUAUUUGGCAAGGAUCUUACUAAACCUGCAUCUUUAAUAAAGGAUUUUACCAUGGCCAGAGAUCUCGGUGAAGGAUUGAAGUCAAGCUCCUUACCUGCUAGUGAACCCAUCGCUGCAAGACUUGGCAUUGAUUACCCAUUUCCUCCCCACCUUGAGUACGCUUACCCCCCACCAGAUGGAAAUAUUCUGACCAAUAUUGUAAAUGCUCUAAUUGCUGUUCCUCGCUUCUAUGUACAGGUGUUGCACUUGAUGAACAAAAUGAACAUUCCAGCUCCAUUUCGUAUGGCCUUGCCCACCCCACCUUUACCACCUCCAGUACCUGCCCCACCACCACCACCUCCACCCCCUGAAGCUGCAAGACCUAACUUGGAAGGCCUAUCUAGUGGCGAGUCUGAAAUGGAAUCAUCAGAUGGGGAGGUUGAUGGCAAAGCCUAUUCUCCUGGGCCUCCAAGAGAAACAAAACCUGGUCGAAAGUGUGUCAAACGAGAAGCUAUUGUAGGCCCUGGAGUUGAUAAAGAUGUGGCUCAUGAGGCUGUUGGAGUGAAACCUGCCACCUUGGUCCCUAAAGAGAUUCCAAUGAUAAAAAAGAAGAACCCUGUGUUGCAGAUCAAAAUUGCCCCCAAGGUAAUCACUGAACAUAAAGAUGAAUGUAGCAUCAUGAAAGAAUCCGAGGAUUCUGAGAAAGAGGAUUUUGAUCUCAAACAUUAUGCAACCUUGGAAGAAUUAAAAAAUGGAAAGUUGCCUCCAGAGGAAAUCUUAUCACUUCCAAUGUUUAAGAACUAUAUGGCUGGGAAUCCUGCUCCUGUGUUGUACAUAAAGAACUUGGCAAAAGAUGUGAUUGUAGAUGACUUCUAUUUCAUAUUUGGAUCAUUAUUUGGAAGUGUGGAUGCUGCUAAAUCUGGUCUUAGUGUGAAGUUGAUGCAGGAGGGAAGAAUGAGGGGCCAAGCUUUUGUGACAUUUCCAUCAGUUGAACUUGCUCAUCAUGCUUUGGCAAGCAAUUUGGCAUGGAACCCACAACUUUUAGAGUGAGGGUUUUCAAGUGGCCAAGCAAUCGGCUUGACCGUACUUUAAAGCUCAAGAUUAGCAGUCUUAACUUCACUACGUUGAUGCAUGAACUGGGAUGCAAGCAGUUGAUUCAUACUUUGAUGUUUGACAUGGUUACCGGAUGCAUGAGGACAAAUGAACCUACUGAAGAGGCCAAGCCCAGGUAAAUUCUGACGAUGAUCUGCUGCACCAAAUGCAGGCACUUAUGCCUUCGCUAAGUUUAUCCUUUCAUUUAUUGAGGGCUUGAGGGUAUUGAAUACAAGCACACUCCUGAAUCAAUCAUAAUGAAGGAUGUGAAGGAAAUUUUUAGGCCAAAAUUUUUUCAGCCGGCCAACCCAGUUGGCCUUGGCUUCUCAAUUGUCAUGCUCAGGGCAACUAUUCCAUUUCUAUAUCCUUCAUUAAACCCUAAUGCGAUUUUUGAAUUGACAUCAUAACCAUCUUCAUUUGUGCAGUUAGUUUUGAUUUCUAGAGCUGUGUGGACUGACUUUCUUUCUUCUGAUUAGAUUUUGUACAACACAUUGUGUACCUUGAGAAGGAUUUUUCAUCCUCUGUAAGUAUUAAUCUCAUAGCAAUGAAAUGUUCAUUUCUACCUGAUCUAAUUUUCUGUAUUAUUUGCUCAACCCAUUCUUAAAAAAAUACAUCUGAAAUUGUAUUUUGUGUAACUCAUACCCUGCAAUAGCUCAGUUUCAAGGUUUUAAUCCCAAGUUGAAAGUAUAUAUCAUAGCCAAAAGAUCAAUUAAUUCCAAUAGUUAAAAGGAUCUAAAAGAACUUAUUGCAAUAAUGAAUGGCUAAGCACAAAGACAAGAAGAUUUGUCCAACAUGAGGCCCUUGCUUGAUCCAGUUCCUGAUAGAAGGCGCCUUACAUGAGGAUGUGGGAUUAGACCUGUGAAUUAGAAAUAUUCCUAGUAAGGGGGAAAAGUAAAACUUGCAUUAGCAAGCGAGAAUUAAGAGAAAUUUAUAGAAAUUAAUACAAAAUACAAAUCUCCAAGUUGACUUGGAGAUGCAAAAAUUAUAUGCAAGACAAGUUUGGACUAACUGAAAAAAAAUACUAAAGAUCGAAAUAUAUAUUUUUUUUAAUAAUCGAGGAACUUUUCAUGGUCAAAUCCUUAUGACUCUCCAUGAAACCCAAAACUUGAGGUAUUGACUGUCUCAUAACAACCAGCACCAGGUAAAUAUGCUAGGAUUUGAACUCAAAACCAUGUGUCACUUAUUGGGAUCACAUUUCCCAGUAUUUGCCCUGAUCAAUUGGACUACCCUAGCAGGUAAGAUUGAAACCUAGUUUUAUGCCAUGGUUAUAUAACGGGAGAGGUUUGCAGAAAAGAAUGAGAAACUAAAAUCAUCAUUAAAACUUCACCAUGGUUUAUAGAAUAGUUUUCAUUACGAUACAAUAAAAAACUAAAAUCCUAGGUUAAAAGAAUAAGUUUGAGAAACAUUAAUUUUAACCUAGUAGAUAAUGAAAUCAUCAUAAAUUUUCGGUUGCAUCAGGGUUUGCAAUACUUGUAUCCUUUCAUUUUUCCUAGACAAUUUUUUUCGGAAUCACUAACUUUGCCUAGAAAAUUGUAGCAAAUUGCAUGGACAAAAUGAAGCACAAACCUUUGGUUGUGCCAUGUGUGUGACCAUUAAUUGAAGGCACCUUUUGACAUUCCCAGACUUUCAUUAACAGCCUUUAUAUAAAGGGUUGGAUGCCAUCACAAUCAACUUCACCAAGCUCAAAUCUGAGAGAGAAAACAAAGUGAAGGUUAGAAGUGUGUGUGUAUGUGACUAGCAAUGGAGGGAGAGGGAGUCCCAGCAAAACAGAGCAUUGUAGUGUGUGUCUGGAACAAAAUAGUAGAAGCUUACACAUGGAUGAAAGCCAAAUUAAAUUCACUCUUCAAGCUCUUCACUGAAUCCAUCACUAAAGCUCUUCUGUGCCUCAGGUAGUUUGUUACCUCUUGCUGUGAAAAACUCAGAGAAAUGCUUCCAGGGAACAACACCAAGCUAGACGACUUGUCUGAAAAGAAAUUAGUGAUUGAGGGGUUUCCUGAGGAGGGUUCUCUUUUGGAUGAGAUGAGGAAGCUGGAGAGGUUUGUUGGGCUGGUGGAUCCAUUUUUGGAGGUUGGGAGCAGCCUUGAAAUGAAGUUUGAUUGCCCAAAACUGAAGACGUUUCUUGACCUGGCUGAAGGGUUGAUCCAGUUGUUGGAGUAUAAUCUGUAAGCAGCCUGACUCUCAUACUUGUUCUUGUUGAAGCCUAUUUGCUACCGCAUAACCAACAAGACGUGAAGUUACUAGAGUUUGAAAGGAGUAAGGUAGAGCUGAGAUGGUCAUUUUACUCUAAUAAGUCUCUCUGUUCUGUUCAGUUCAGUUCUUCUAUCUAAAUGUAGUUGGUGGUUAUAAUAUUAAAGAUCGAAACAUACUUUUAUAUCGUGGUUAUAUAUGGGAGACACUUGUGGAAAA